rnacentral:rRNA from 1 species
CAGUCGCCGCGGGAAUACGAAGGGUGCAAGCGUUACUCGGAAUUACUGGGCGUAAAGCGUGCGUAGGUGGUUGUUUAAGUCUGCUGUGAAAGCCCUGGGCUCAACCUGGGAAUUGCAGUGGAUACUGGGCAACUAGAGUAAGGUAGAGGAUAGUGGAAUUUCCGGUGUAGCGGUGAAAUGCGUAGAGAUCUGGAGGAACAUCAGUGGCGAAGGCGGCCAUCUGGGACAACACUGACGCUGAGGCACGAAAGCGUGGGGAGCAAACAGGAUUAGAUACCCGAGUAGUCCCUGUCUCUUAUAC